GCUGCAGCGUGACUAGCUACUGAAUCAAAGAGUUAAAAAUUAACUCCUGAUGUCGUAAGGGAAAAUAAUGAUAAUACCUUACUAUUAGUGUCGUCCAAAUCUGGUGCCAGAAGACUCGGUAAGACCAGAGACGCAAACGUUAAUCAUCAUAAUCAGGCGUAAAGGGUUUGUAGGCAGCCUCCCCUCCCUCCCCGGCAAAUCCGGGGCUGCGGAUAUGGAGAGCUAGAAUCAAAAAGAGGUUAUAGUGUAUAACGUCUAGAGGAGGUCUGAUAUCCGUAGAUACUAGGCAGAAUACUCAGGGCGAAGGCCACUCUCCACUAAUGAUUGACGCUGAGAAACGAAGGUUAGGGUAGGAAAUAGGAUUAGAUACCCCGGUACUCCUUUCUGUAAACGAUGAAUGGUAGUCAUUAGUUUAUUACUAGAGACGAAGUUAACACAAUAACCAUUCCGCCUUGUGAGUACUACUGCAAAGUAGAAAACAAAAAAAUUAGUCGGUCUCGAAGCAAACGGAGUGAAGCAUGUUAUUUAUA
rnacentral:rRNA from 1 species